GGGCCUGGGAUGGCGCUAUGCUGCGUGUCCUUGGAGGCAACGAGCUGUCACUGUACAGGACGCUUGAAAGGCUAAGUGGCUGCAUUCGGAUUAUCUGCUUUUAUGGGAUUGUUAUAGGCUUUUAGAGGCAUUGUAGAGCAUAUUAUUUUUAUCCUUUGAGAUGGGGUUGCGGGUAGGAAUUGAAGUUGGGAGUGCGGGGCUUGGUCGCGGGUGUAAAAGGAGGGGACAGCGCAUGCGCGGGGCAGAAACUGAGGAAAGCGGUAUUUGCAGUGGAUCUACGCGUACAUUGAAUGGGUAGUAAUGGUGCGCGCGAGCGUGUCGAAUGGAGAAAGGGAGCAGUGUUUGAGCUGAGAUCUCUGCGCUUGCCUCAGCCCUAGAGGCUCCAACUUCUGAGACCGGGGGGUUCCAAAGGCUCAGGUCCCUGAAACCCACUAGUGCCUAGGCCCAGGGUCGUGGAGACUCCGAGUUCCAGAAACCCAGAGAUCCAGACCCCUGACACUUCCAGCAGCCAAGAGAACCAGGACUCCAGAGACAGGUCUCCCCCACCAAAGCCCGGGAACCUAGAGACUUCAUCCCUCUACCAAAGACCAAGGACCUCGGAGACUCCUGAAACUGAAAUUUAGAGGCCAAGGGAGUCACAAGACUCAGAUCUCUGAGACGCAGGAGACCGGAGAUCCUGGGGGCUAAGAAACUGAGAGUCAGGGUCCCCAAACCCAGAUUCCCCCCAAAACCGGGGCUCAAAAUUCCUCACAAUGAAGGGACCAGAGCCUCAGGGAUCCCGAGACUGAGAGGUGCACAGCCCAAGGGGUGUGGACCUUAGUGAGUGAUGACAAGAAGGACAAGACAGACUCUGUGGAGGCUAUGUUUUCUUCAUGACAGGGGAGCCAUGAUGCCUAAUUUAAGAUGAGAUGGCCUCCAUGAAGUCACCAUCAAGGGUCAUCACGAGCCAGUGAUGGUUGUCACUGGCUUAUUGGUUCCUUUGUGGAAUGAUCAUUUCCUGAGGUCUUCUUGUGCCAGGUUGGCCCUGUGCUAGAUACUAGUGACACAAGUGAGGUCGUGGUCCUCUGAGUCCCCUGCCUGGUGUGGGAAGAGGGAGAGAAACACAGUUAAUACGGUGAUAAAGCUUGAUAUGGAUGUUAGGAACUCUGGAAGCUGAGUCUCAACUACUGCCAGUCAAGGCAUCAGGAAAAAAAAAUCAACCAGAGAUUACUAGGCACCGUGCUGUUCUUUACGUGCACUGUCUCAGUUUGUUCAUCUGUAAAAUGGGGAUGAUAAUAGCAGAACUUGCCUCUUAGCGUUUAUAUGAAGUCAAAUUGAAUUAACAACACCUACAAAGCGUUUAGAACAGUGCCUGGCAGAUAGUACCUGCUCAAUAGAUGGUUAUUGCUUGUUCCGGGCUCUUGUAGGCAGCCUUGUAAGGUGGUCCCCAAUGACCCCCACCUCCUGGUAUUCAUGCCUUGUGUGCAGGCUAGACCCAAUGGCUUUCUUCUAAUGAACAGAAUACAAUCAAGGUGGUAAAUAUUACUACCAAGAUUAUCUUACAAAAGACUGUGACUCUUUCUCUGUUCUUUCUCUCACUCUCUUUCUCACUUCAUGAAGCCCAGAUGUCACAUUGUGAGCUGCUUACCUUGAGAAGACCUGGGGCUGGCUUUCAUUGGACAACCAAUGAGGAACUUUAAAUCAACUGGCAUCAUGAUUACAGCCUAUAAGAGACCCUAAGCCAUAUAACCCAACUAAGCUGCACUCCAAUUCCAGCCCCAAUGAAACUGUUGAGAUGAUAAAUGUGGGGUUUUUUUGUUUGUUUUGGUUUUUGUUUUAGGCCACUGAGCUUUAAGGUAAAAAUAACCUCUGGUCCCUCUGUCCUAGGCAGGGGUUGGGGGAAGGCUAGAGGGUGGAGCCUAAAUUCUCAACAUUGGGGUCUCCAAAGGGGGACCACCCCUCUCCCACCUCAGGCAUCCUUCCAGCCCCUUAAGAGAGAAAACAGAGGAGGAGGGUCCAUCUGCCCACUGCACCCUGAGCUCUCUGUCCACUUCACUCAGAGUGAGGUCCCACAGGAAGAAAGUAGCAAGGCCAGCAGCAGGCAUGGGAGACACGGGUGUGGAGGUGCAGACACUGUCACAUGGUCAGUCUCUCAGGUGAGUGACCUGGUAUCUCGCCAUCCAGCAUUCUGCCUGGACACCUCCCCAGGAUGGCCUCCUAGAUUGCUCUGCUCAGCAUGGCCAGGGUUGCUCUCCUCAUCUCCUCCUCCUCCCCACAAGCUGGCAUCUCUCCCUGGAUUCCCCAUCUUGCUAACAGCCCCCCGCCUCUUUCUUUCAGGCCAGUCUCUGAGGAGUCAGCUUCCCCCAUCCUCCCUUUCUCCUGCUGCCUCCAAAAAGUCACCACAUCUUGUUCACUUUUUCCUAAGAACAGCUAGCAUCAGCCCCCCCAACCCUUCUCAACCCUUAUCAUUUCCAAGGCUUCCUGGACCCCCUCAUCUUCCUACCUUCACUUCCCUUGACCUACAUGGGGACAAUCAUCUAAAAGCCAUCACUGUCCAGUCCUUCUGCAUUUAAACAUUUGUUUGCCCCUUUGUCUAGAGCAGAGGGUGGCAAACUUUUUAAAUAAAGGGGCAGAUAGUCAAGAUUUUUGUCUUUUCAGGACAUACAAUCUCUGUUGUAGCCACACGACUCUGCCUUUAUAGCAUAAAGGCAGCCCCAGACCACAUGUAAAUGAAUGGGCAUGACUGUGUUCCAAUAAAACUAUUUAAAAACACAGGCAGUGGGCCAGAUUUGACACAUGGGUGGGGCUGGUCUGUAGUCUGUCCAUCCCUUACCAAGAGGAUAAACCCCAAACUCAGCCUGCAGCCUUACAUGUUCUGACCUCUCAAAAGCCUGCUUCUCCAGAAGGGCUGGGAUUAGGGUGAGAUUAGUAAGGCACCCACCUCAGAGGCAAAAUUUAAGAGGGUGCCAAAAAUCUCAGUAACUGAGAUAAAUAAUGUUUUAAAAGUGCAAAUUAAUGGCAAAAAUACCUGAUGAGCAGACUGUCAAAAAAUCUAAAUAACGACAGAAUCAGUAAACUGAAGUUAGUAAAAAAUUAUUUUAAGAUCGUGACUUAGUAAAGAGAAAUUGUCAAUCAGGGCAGUGUUCUCAGUUAAAAAUCUGAGAAGCAGGGUAGAUUUUGAAAAUAUUCUUCCUGCAUUUGCUUCUAGGAAAGCACAAUUAGAAUCAGUUCUGGCUUGGGUAUAAAUAAAAUCAAUGUAAACUAAUGUUACGAUACACACCACUUUUCAAGUGUGCAAUAAUAUUUCAGUUAUUUUAAUGUCCUGGGGGAAAACUGACCAUUAAAAAUACCUUAAAAAACACAGUGAAAGGGGCAUACAUUUUUUCCCUCUGCCUCAGGCUCCAAUUGGUUCAGAAGGACACUCUUACAAAUCCCACAUUUAUUUAAAUUUUUGAUACUGUGUUCUCCACAGAUUAUUUUUUGCAUUCAUUGUGAUUUUUAAAAGCUGGGGAAGGGGAGAGUAUAGCUCAGUGGUAGAUCGCAUGCUUAGCAUGCAUGAGGUCUUGGGUUCAGUCCCCUGUACCUCCAUUAAAAAAUAAAUAAGUAAAUAAGUAAUACAAAAUCUAAUUAUGUCCCCCGAAAAAAAUUACAAAUAAAAAUAAAUAAUAUAUAAAAUUUUAAAAUAUUUUUUUACUAAAACCUGGCAUUAAAAUAUUAUUUAUCUCCAUUACUGAGGUUUUGAGUACCCCUUUUAUUUUGUACUCACCCUAACCUCAGUGCUGCUCUCCAACUCUUUUUCUACCACUCCCCCCACUUCCCUUUUUCAGCCUGUCCCCCCUGGACUUUUCAUUAGCCUCAAACAUGACAAGGUCAUUUGUGCCUCUGGGUUUUUGCAUGAGAUGUUCCUCCCUCCUCAAAUGCCCUUCCCUCCCCUUUCCACUUCUCAUUCCUGUUCUGCCUUCAUGCUCUUAUGUGAACAUCACAUUUUUCAUUUAUUUAUUGUAUUUAGAGUGUGAGUGAAAGCCUUUGGAGGGUUUUGAGCGGUUGAGUAAUUUGCAUCCUUUCAGUCAGACUCGUAGAAAUCAAACUCUGUCCCAUUUUUAAAAGAAUCUUAUAUUGUAGAUUAGACAAAACUGUGUGAAUGUGGUGCCAGGACAUUGGAGGAGACCUCGUAAACCAGGAGCCCUAAGCUUAGGUUUCAUCAGCUUUUUUUUAAAAUUUUUUUAUUGUUGAAGUACAGUCAGUUGCAAUGUGUCAAUUUCUGUUGUACAGCACAGUGUCCCAGUCCUGCAUAUACAUAUGUAUAUUCAUCUUCAUAUUCUUUUUCAUUGAAGGUUAUUACCAGAUAUUAAAUAUAGUUCCCUGUGCCAUACAGAAGAAAUUUGUUUUUUAAUCUAUCUUUAUAUGUAGUGGCUAACAUUUGCAACUUUCAAACUCCCAAAUUUAUCCCUUCCCACCCCCUUUCCCCCAGUGACCGUAAGACUGUUUACUUUGUCUGCGAGUAUCUUAUUUUUUUUAUGGCGGCUACUAAAACUUUCUAAAUUACUCAUGUGGCUUGCACUGUAUUUCUUUUGGACAGCAUUGCUCUAGAAGAAAACUUAGAAGAAUGUUUGCGGCUAUGCAAAGAUUUCUUAAAGGACAUCCAAAAUACUAAGCAAAUUAUACAUUUAUAUAUGUAUUAGACUUCAUUAGAAACUUCUGUUCAUCAAAGACAGAGCUAAGAAGAUGAAAGGUCAAGUAACCAGCAGACACCUUGGCCACAUGUUUGCAGGAAAUAGCAUCACUUGAAGACUUUUUAUUUUUCCUAUAGAAGGGGGGGGAAAUGACCCAGACUCAGGGACAAGACAGAUGCAGAUGAGGAGAUGAAGGCUAGAGGACCCCAGCCCACUUCCUUUGGAUACUUCCUCCAACCUUACAACAGACCACAAUGGUAGACAGUAUGCCCAUUCUACAGAUGAGAAAACUGAGGCUCACAGAAUGAAGACAAAGACCAUGUGGUAUAUAUGGAGACAGAAGUAAACAAAGGUAUUUUCAGUCUUCAAAAUCUAUGCCGACCUGCCGUAGCCCUGUAGAGCUGUCUGGAGUAGACAGAACUCCAAGAAGGCCCCACGAUCUCCACUCCUUGUGACUGGCCCGCUGCACGGCCAUUUUGAACGGCUGCAAGGCAGGCUGUGAUAUGCCAACCAGCACUGACAGGACCCGUUCCCUCGGCGUUGAUCUGAUUCCUCACGUCCAGCAGCAGGGCUCACGCGGCGUGGGGCGGGGAGCGCGGGGAGGAGCGGAAGGCGCUCCUGGCAGAGGGCGUGGAGGAGGGGAGCCGAGCUGUGCGGAGCUGCGACGGGUCUGCACACUGAGACCAGACCGAGACAGACAGACCAGGGCGCGCGGAGAGAGAGGGGAGGUGGCUGGCUGAGCGAGACACAGAGACGCGGGGGAGAGAGAGCACAUCCCAGAAAUGUUCAACCAACAAGGUCUUUCAGACUGUACUUGGGAAUAUGUUCAUCUUUUAUCUUUAUAACAACAUGUACUACUUUUUUUUCAUUUUUCCAUUUUAUUAGGUAAAAUUGGUACAAUUUGACUGCACGUGUACAAUAUAUUGCAUGUAAAUACAUACAUACAAUAUACUGCUCAUAUUUUUAAAAUUUACAUAUAUGUGCUGUUCACUGUUUCUAAGAAUAGCUUAGACCUUUAGCUUUUUAAACUUACAUAGUUGUUAAAGGAAUAAAGCCAACCGCAAAAUAAGAAUCAACAGAAUGCGGUAAUCCAACCAUAAAGGACAGUCAGAUGUGCUUACACAUAUUCAAGAGAUCAAUCAUCUAAGUUAUAAAUAAUUAGUUCAUUUGUGUCCUUUUUGUUUUUAGAUUCCACAUACAAGCAACAAGUGUUACUUCUUUAAUUGCAAAAGGAAUGCACUGGCUGCAGAAAAUUUAGAAAAUGCUUAACAAACAAAAAGAAGAUAGAACUAUACCAUUUUAAUAAGAAUUUUAAAUAAAAUAAUCUAUUAUGCAUAGCUUCCAAAUACAUAUUUAUAAAUAUAUAAAUAUUUAUAAUAAAUGCUUUUAAUUAGAUGAAGAUUCACAUAUUUAUGUAAAUAUUUACACAUGUAUACAUUUCACAUGUAUAAUUAUCUAGAUAAAUUAAAAUAGUUUAUAAAGAAAAUAAAUAUACAAUUAUUUAUUAUAAUUUAAUUAAUACCAUUAAAGAUCACCGGUAGUAAUUUGAUCACCUGGAGGUAUAUCCAGCUUUUUCCUACAUAUAUUUUCAGUUUUGAUGUAUUAUAUAUACACGCAUGCACGUAUCUGUAUUUUUACCGAAGUGGAAUCAUACCAUUAAAAAGAAAUAACGGGCCCAAAGUGGAGUCAAUUUUGCAGAGCCACAUCACCAGACCAAAACUUAGUAACUAACCUGAGGGCAGUUUCAGUCUCUCCCAGGAGUGGCACCAGUGAGUUAAUCCACACAAUCAGACCCCCUGCCUUUCCCUUCCCCCGAAGAAAGGUGACUUUGCCUGAAACAAUCCUGGUUUUCCUCUUGCUAAUAACUUGCCCCACCCUCUUCUGCUUAGUAAAAAAAUUUCCAUUUCGUACCACCCCUCGGAGUGCCUUCCUACUUGCUAGAUGGAGUGCUGCCUGAUUUGUGA